GUAUUUUCUUUCGAAAGCCCGGCCACGUUGUUAAAAACACCGCAGAGUGUUUCGCAAAUAUAACAUGGACGUUUUGGGGAGGCAUCAGUAAUAAUGUAAACACCAUUAUAAUAUAACCUUUGUCUUUUAUACCGUGACGGCGACCGGAUAAUAAAUCCCCUUGGGAAACUUCAGUAAGUAUAUCAGCCGUGGGUUUACGUGCGUGCACUAAAAAGCU